GGAACUCUGGACUCAACAUUUAGCUGAUGUUAUUCUGGAAUAUAGUCUUAAGAUGUCUGACCACCUAAAGAAACAUUUAACUACCCAGCUCGAGCUAUUGGACGAGUCAAGUUUUCAUCUACAGAGUAUCAUCAGUGAUUUUCUGCAGCAGAUCAAAACUAGAGCCAAUGAAUGUGUAGACAAUAUACCUGGCUCCAGUAAAGCUAUGAGAGAUGCAAUCGAUAUGAUAAAAACAGCACAAAGUACAAUACUAGAACACACAGACAU